UGGGGAAUUUUGGACAAUGGGCGAAAGCCUGAUCCAGCAAUGCCGCGUGUGUGAAGAAGGCCUUCGGGUUGUAAAGCACUUUUGUCCGGAAAGAAAUCCUUGGCUCUAAUACAGUCGGGGGAUGACGGUACCGGAAGAAUAAGCACCGGCUAACUACGUGCCAGCAGCCGCGGUAAUACGUAGGGUGCAAGCGUUAAUCGGAAUUACUGGGCGUAAAGCGUGCGCAGGCGGUUUGCUAAGACCGAUGUGAAAUCCCCGGGCUCAACCUGGGAACUGCAUUGGUGACUGGCAGGCUAGAGUAUGGCAGAGGGGGGUAGAAUUCCACGUGUAGCAGUGAAAUGCGUAGAGAUGUGGAGGAAUACCGAUGGCGAAGGCAGCCCCCUGGGCCAAUACUGACGCUCAUGCACGAAAGCGUGGGGAGCAAACAGGAUUAGAUACCCUGGUAGUCCACGCCCUAAACGAUGUCAACUAGUUGUGGGAUUCAUUCCUUAGUAACGUAGCUAACGCGUGAAGUUGACCGCCUGGGGAGUACGGUCGCAAGAUU
rnacentral:rRNA from 1 species